CUUCAACGACCCGAUGAGCAGAGGGCGGUCGGCCGGCCGGUCCUGCCCGUAGGUCGCCAGCAGCGCCUGGGCCUC
rnacentral:antisense_RNA from 1 species